CUGCCUGAUGGAGGGGGAUAACUACUGGAAACGGUAUCUAAUACCGCAUAGUGUCUACGGACCAAAGUGGGGGACCUUCGGGCCUCAUGCCAUCAGAUGUGCCCAUAUGGGAUUAUCUAGUAGGUGGGGUAAUGGCUCACCUAGGCGACUAUCCCUAUCUGGUCUGAGAGGAUGACCACCCACACUGGAACUGACACACGGUCCACACUCCUACGGGAGGCAGCAGUGGGGAAUAUUGCACAAUGGGCGCAAGCCUGAUGCACCCAUGCCGCGUGUGUGAAGAAGGCCUUCGGGUUGUAAAGCACUUUCAGCGAGGAAGAAGGGUAGUGUGUUAAUAGCACUGUGCAUUGACGUUACUCACAAAAAAAGCACCGGCUAACUCCGUGCCAGCACCCGCGGUAAUACAGAGGGUGCAAGCGUUAAUCAUAAUUACUGGGCGUAAAGCGCACGCACGCGGUUUGUUAUGUCAUAUGUGAAAUCCCCGCGCUUAACGUGAGAACUGCAUUUGAAACUGGCAAGCUAGAGUCUUGUAGAGGGGGGUAAAAUUCCAUGUGUAGCGGUGAUAUGCGUAGAGAUCUGGAGGAAUACCGGUG
rnacentral:rRNA from 1 species